rnacentral:rRNA from 1 species
AGAGUUUGAUCCUGGCUCAGGACGAACGCUGGCGGCGUGCUUAACACAUGCAAGUCGAACGAUGAAGCCCUUCGGGGUGGAUUAGUGGCGAACGGGUGAGUAACACGUGGGCAAUCUGCCCUUCACUCUGGGACAAGCCCUGGAAACGGGGUCUAAUACCGGAUAACACUCUGUCCCGCAUGGGACGGGGUUAAAAGCUCCGGCGGUGAAGGAUGAGCCCGCGGCCUAUCAGCUUGUUGGUGGGGUAAUGGCCUACCAAGGCGACGACGGGUAGCCGGCCUGAGAGGGCGACCGGCCACAUGGGACUGAGACACGGCCCAGACUCCUACGGGAGGCAGCAGUGGGGAAUAUUGCACAAUGGGCGAAAGCCUGAUGCAGCGACGCCGCGUGAGGGAUGACGGCCUUCGGGUUGUAAACCUCUUUCAGCAGGGAAGAAGCGAGAGUGACGGUACCUGCAGAAGAAGCGCCGGCUAACUACGUGCCAGCAGCCGCGGUAAUACGUAGGGCGCAAGCGUUGUCCGGAAUUAUUGGGCGUAAAGAGCUCGUAGGCGGCUUGUCACGUCGGAUGUGAAAGCCCGGGGCUUAACCCCGGGUCUGCAUCGAUACGGGCUAGCUAGAGUGUGGUAGGGGAGAUCGGAAUUCCUGGUGUAGCGGUGAAAUGCGCAGAUAUCAGGAGGAACACCGGUGGCGAAGGCGGAUCUCUGGGCCAUUACUGACGCUGAGGAGCGAAAGCGUGGGGAGCGAACAGGAUUAGAUACCCUGGUAGUCCACGCCGUAAACGUUGGGAACUAGGUGUUGGCGACAUUCCACGUCGUCGGUGCCGCAGCUAACGCAUUAAGUUCCCCGCCUGGGGAGUACGGCCGCAAGGCUAAAACUCAAAGGAAUUGACGGGGGCCCGACAAGCAGCGGAGCAUGUGGCUUAAUUCGACGCAACGCGAAGAACCUUACCAAGGCUUGACAUAUACCGGAAAGCAUCAGAGAUGGUGCCCCCCUUGUGGUCGGUAUACAGGUGGUGCAUGGCUGUCGUCAGCUCGUGUCGUGAGAUGUUGGGUUAAGUCCCGCAACGAGCGCAACCCUUGUUCUGUGUUGCCAGCAUGCCCUUCGGGGUGAUGGGGACUCACAGGAGACUGCCGGGGUCAACUCGGAGGAAGGUGGGGACGACGUCAAGUCAUCAUGCCCCUUAUGUCUUGGGCUGCA